CCGUGCUAGACGGGGAGGUAGCGGUGCCCUGAACCCGCAAGCCGCUGUAGCGGGGUCGAAUUCCUGCCCGCGGGUGUGACUUGUGGGGUCUGGCCCCUGUAAGGGGUGACGACGGUUGGGUCUUGCGCGACGGAGACUUCUGAACCGUGUCAGGUCCUGGCGGAAGCAGCACUAAGGAAGCACCUCCGGGUGCCGCAAGGGUGCCUGACCCGAGCUACCUGCAGGGGUAACGCCCGGAAGUCAUCAUUCAACGGCAGGUGCACGG
rfam:Desulfotomaculum australicum DSM 11792 genome assembly, contig: EJ60DRAFT_scaffold00013.13